ensembl:snRNA U1 U1 spliceosomal RNA
CUACUCACCUGGUAGGGGAGAUACCAUGAUCAUGAAGGUGGUUUUCCUAGGGUGAGCCUUCUUCAUUGUACUCCAAAGGUGCCUAACCCUGCAAUUUCCCCAAAUGUGGAAAACUCAACUGCAUAAUUUGUGCUAGCGGGGGACUGUGUUCGCACUUCCCUUGA